ACUAAACCGACACGUUAAUAUACCUACUCGAUAUAAACACGUUCCUCAAAUAAAAAUGGCCGUUCGACAUUUUUUCCAAAAUCUCUACACUUUUCAAUUGUUCAAAACAAUUAAAUUCUUUUGGAUAUAAAACACCUAAACUCACACAACAAAUUUUCUCAAAAGAAAUGAGUAAGCAAAUCAAAACUUAACACCAUAUUUUUUUUUUAUCAUUAUAACAAUUAAUUCAAAUGACAAUUUUCCUUCUAA
rnacentral:lncRNA from 1 species